GAUGAACGCUGGCGGCGUGCCUAAUACAUGCAAGUCGAGCGAACGGACGAGAAGCUUGCUUCUCUGAUGUUAGCGGCGGACGGGUGAGUAACACGUGGAUAACCUACCUAUAAGACUGGGAUAACUUCGGGAAACCGGAGCUAAUACCGGAUAAUAUUUUGAACCGCAUGGUUCAAAAGUGAAAGACGGUCUUGCUGUCACUUAUAGAUGGAUCCGCGCUGCAUUAGCUAGUUGGUAAGGUAACGGCUUACCAAGGCAACGAUGCAUAGCCGACCUGAGAGGGUGAUCGGCCACACUGGAACUGAGACACGGUCCAGACUCCUACGGGAGGCAGCAGUAGGGAAUCUUCCGCAAUGGGCGAAAGCCUGACGGAGCAACGCCGCGUGAGUGAUGAAGGUCUUCGGAUCGUAAAACUCUGUUAUUAGGGAAGAACAUAUGUGUAAGUAACUGUGCACAUCUUGACGGUACCUAAUCAGAAAGCCACGGCUAACUACGUGCCAGCAGCCGCGGUAAUACGUAGGUGGCAAGCGUUAUCCGGAAUUAUUGGGCGUAAAGCGCGCGUAGGCGGUUUUUUAAGUCUGAUGUGAAAGCCCACGGCUCAACCGUGGAGGGUCAUUGGAAACUGGAAAACUUGAGUGCAGAAGAGGAAAGUGGAAUUCCAUGUGUAGCGGUGAAAUGCGCAGAGAUAUGGAGGAACACCAGUGGCGGAGGCGACUUUCUGGUCUGUAACUGACGCUGAUGUGCGAAAGCGUGGGGAUCAAACAGGAUUAGAUACCCUGGUAGUCCACGCCGUAAACGAUGAGUGCUAAGUGUUAGGGGGUUUCCGCCCCUUAGUGCUGCAGCUAACGCAUUAAGCACUCCGCCUGGGGAGUACGACCGCAAGGUUGAAACUCAAAGGAAUUGACGGGGACCCGCACAAGCGGUGGAGCAUGUGGUUUAAUUCGAAGCAACGCGAAGAACCUUACCAAAUCUUGACAUCCUUUGACAACUCUAGAGAUAGAGCUUUCCCCUUCGGGGGACAAAGUGACAGGUGGUGCAUGGUUGUCGUCAGCUCGUGUCGUGAGAUGUUGGGUUAAGUCCCGCAACGAGCGCAACCCUUAAGCUUAGUUGCCAUCAUUAAGUUGGGCACUCUAAGUUGACUGCCGGUGACAAACCGGAGGAAGGUGGGGAUGACGUCAAAUCAUCAUGCCCCUUAUGAUUUGGGCUACACACGUGCUACAAUGGACAAUACAAAGGGCAGCGAAACCGUGAGGUCAAGCAAAUCCCAUAAAGUUGUUCUCAGUUCGGAUUGUAGUCUGCAACUCGACUACAUGAAGCUGGAAUCGCUAGUAAUCGUAGAUCAGCAUGCUACGGUGAAUACGUUCCCGGGUCU
rnacentral:rRNA from 1 species